AUGGAGAACCACCGCGACGACGGUUUCACUUCCGGCGCUGCUUCCCUCCAGGGGAUUAGGGGGCUCGCCGCGGGUGAAGACCCCAUCCACGUCGAAACAAUGACCCAGACACAAACAUACCAAGUGUUAUCUGGCGAGGAGAGCGUGGAGAUGGUGAUGAGGGGGUUCAAUGGCGGCCGGUGCGACUUCCUGACCAAGCCCCCGGGCAACGACGGGAUGCACAACAUCCUCCGUCCUGUCAGGGAGCGAAGCCUCAACGCUGCCGUCAAUGCCGCCGCUGCAAACGCCGAUCCUCGCUCCAGCCGGGAUGGCACAUCGAGGAAGAGGCCAGUGGAAGUGGACCACUCCGACGUGGGGGGCUACGGUAGCAGGACCGCCAAGAAGAUCACUGCAGAGAAGCAUGCAUUACUUCACAAAGUGGCCAACAACCGGAUCAAUGGAACAGAAGGCAAUCUCGGUGGUUCAAAGAUGGAGAGUGAUGCUAUAACCUAG
rnacentral:rRNA from 1 species